rnacentral:lncRNA from 1 species
CUAAACCCAGUUACAGCCUCUGUGUAAACUGAAGUGAGCGAGGAGAUUUACUCAUCCUGUGACCACCCAAGGCAGGCCAGGAUAAAGAGAGGUAUAACUCUGUGAAGUUAAAGGAUGCCUUUGAAAAGCAUACAUACUGGACCAGAAGUGAUGGUGGCGAGAUGGGAUAGAAGAGGCUCGUUUAGCAGAAAGUGAGAAGACCCUCUGCAGGGAAACUGCAUCCCAGUUAGAAGUUGAAGAGGAGAAACAUUUAGAGGUGAAAAGAUCUCUGGCUUAUUUCAUAGAGAAUCACAAAAUAAAAAGACUGCUUGAGAACUGAUGGACUCUGACCCGCAGGUUUACCUCCAGCCUUGAGGCCCUUGGGUUGAUGCAAACUCCAUAAUCUCGCUGUUGGAGAUGCUCUUCACCGAGGAUAGAAACUUGUUUCUAAUUGAAUCAGUCCAGCAAAGGGCAGGCAGGUCAUCCUGACCUAAAUAUUUCCAGUCCGAGUGUUUUCCUUUGAAAUAUUUAUCUAUUUAGGGAAAAGAAGAUGAUGCGUUCUCUGUUCCUUAAAAAGUUCAAACAUGCCUUAAAGCUCUUUACAAAAUAAUCCACAAACUUGUUUUCCGUGGG